rnacentral:rRNA from 1 species
AUUGAACGCUGGCGGCAUGCCUCACACAUGCAAGUCGAACGGUAACGCGGGGCAACCUGGCGACGAGUGGCGAACGGGUGAGUAACGCAUCGGAACGUGCCCAGUAGUGGGGGAUAGCCCGGCGAAAGCCGGCUUAAUACCGCAUACGACCUACGGGUGAAAGCGGGGGAUCGCAAGACCUCGCGCUAUUGGAGCGGCCGAUGUCCGAUUAGGUAGUUGGUGGGGUAAAGGCCUACCAAGCCGACGAUCUGUAGCUGGUCUGAGAGGACGACCAGCCACACUGGGACUGAGACACGGCCCAGACUCCUACGGGAGGCAGCAGUGGGGAAUUUUGGACAAUGGGCGCAAGCCUGAUCCAGCCAUGCCGCGUGCGGGAAGAAGGCCUUCGGGUUGUAAACCGCUUUUGUUAGGGAAGAAACGCUCUGGGCUAAUACCCCGGGGUAAUGACGGUACCUGAAGAAUAAGCACCGGCUAACUACGUGCCAGCCGCCGCAGUAAGAC